rnacentral:lncRNA from 1 species
CACUUUGACAGCUUAUAUCUUGGAUUCUAUGGUUCAUCUGAACCUGUUUUGUUUUCCAGAUUAAAGACCUACUUACAGGCUACAAAUAUCAAUCGAUUAACAUACCAAAACAUAAACACAUAUGAAUCAAAAAGCCCUGACAUUCGGCUGUCAGACCAUUUUUUUCAAAAUUCCCAGAUUUCAUAAAACGCUUAAUUAAGGCAUUUAGAUGUUAUGAAAACGUGUUCUACCACUCUAGCAUACUUUCUAACAUCCUAAUACAAUAUUCUAAAUAUCUAAACAACAAAUCUAACAUAAGAUCAAAGAGAAAUUUAUGAACUAGGGU